CUAUUUUUCUCUGUCUUUUCCAGGGUGGUAACUUUCUCAUCCGUUCAUCACCUUUCUUUACAUUUUCCUUCUAAUUUCGGUGACGAUGUAACACGAAUCUACUAUAUUGGCCUUCGCGGCGAGUUCAAUGAGGCACAUUACCAUGGGGUAACAAUAUGCACUUAUGAAGCACGCCCAAAUGUCAGCGAUCACAAAACUGAAACCUACGAUGCAGUGAAUCGCACAAUACAAUCAUGAAGUGAUAUAAUAAUAUUUACAUUUACAAUGGACCGAAUUGCGUGCUUUCAAAUAAAUUAUUUUAAUGUGUUUACAACAAA